CUGGAAUGAGCAUGUGUAGGUUUGUAAUGAACUACUGCUGAAGAACCACUGUUACAGUAUAAAUGCUACUUCCUGAUACUUCCUCCAGAUGCAGCUGUCAACUGAGAAGGUGAAAGAAGCCUUCUCUCCUCCCCUCUUUUUCUAUGGCUGCUCUACCCUACAUUUAUUUUCCUUGAAAGGUGCUGAUUCUAGAUUAAAAAUUUUGCUGGCUUAUUAUUGGUGAUGCACUAAUAUGCCCAGGUCCUUUGCUUCUACUAUCAGUACCAGCUGUAAAGACUCAGUUUCUUCUGUCAUAAUGGGUAAGCCUUCUCAUCAGUUACAGCUACAUCUGAGGACCAUGAACUUUCCCUCAGCCUUUCUAAAAUAAAAUAUUGCCAUCUAUGG